GAGUUUGAUCCUGGCUCAGGACGAACGCUGGCGGCGUGCUUAACACAUGCAAGUCGAACGGAAAGGCCCAGCUUGCUGGGUACUCGAGUGGCGAACGGGUGAGUAACACGUGGGUGAUCUGCCCCUGACUUUGGGAUAAGCCUGGGAAACUGGGUCUAAUACCGGAUAGGACUACGCGAUGCAUGUCGUGUGGUGGAAAGCUUUUGCGGUGUGGGAUGGGCCCGCGGCCUAUCAGCUUGUUGGUGGGGUGAUGGCCUACCAAGGCGACGACGGGUAGCCGGCCUGAGAGGGUGUCCGGCCACACUGGGACUGAGAUACGGCCCAGACUCCUACGGGAGGCAGCAGUGGGGAAUAUUGCACAAUGGGCGCAAGCCUGAUGCAGCGACGCCGCGUGAGGGAUGACGGCCUCGGUU
rnacentral:rRNA from 1 species